rnacentral:rRNA from 1 species
CAUGCAAGUCGAACGAAGCGCUUAAACGGAUUUCUUCGGAUUGAAGUUUUUGCGACUGAGUGGCGGACGGGUGAGUAACGCGUGGGUAACCUGCCUCAUACAGGGGGAUAACAGUUAGAAAUGACUGCUAAUACCGCAUAAGCGCACAGUACUGCAUGGCACAGUGUGAAAAACUCCGGUGGUAUGAGAUGGACCCGCGUCUGAUUAGCUAGUUGGUGGGGUGACGGCCUACCAAGGCGACGAUCAGUAGCCGGCCUGAGAGGGUGAACGGCCACAUUGGGACUGAGACACGGCCCAAACUCCUACGGGAGGCAGCAGUGGGGAAUAUUGCACAAUGGGGGAAACCCUGAUGCAGCGACGCCGCGUGAGCGAAGAAGUAUUUCGGUAUGUAAAGCUCUAUCAGCAGGGAAGAAAAUGACGGUACCUGACUAAGAAGCACCGGCUAAAUACGUGCCAGCAGCCGCGGUAAUACGUAUGGUGCAAGCGUUAUCCGGAUUUACUGGGUGUAAAGGGAGCGUAGACGGUUGUGUAAGUCUGAUGUGAAAGCCCGGGGCUCAACCCCGGGACUGCAUUGGAAACUAUGUAACUAGAGUGUCGGAGAGGUAAGCGGAAUUCCUAGUGUAGCGGUGAAAUGCGUAGAUAUUA